rnacentral:lncRNA from 1 species
UGUAGACUGCACAAGCUGGCCUUUUAAUGGGGUGGUGCCAUGAAAUUUCGAGGCCAUAACAAGCCUGUUGUGGGUUUCCUCUGUAUGCAAGUACACUCCACACGAAGGGUCGGACGCAGCG